UUCCCUUAAGUUUAUGCAGGAAAUAUGAACCAAUUUUAUUUGUAUACAAAGCAGAUCGAAUUUAAGAUGGAAGAUCUGCUUUAACACACCUGAAUAUUACUGAAUUACUUUUUUUGAUUAUUCACAUGAAUGGGCCUUCUUCAUAGGGCAGAUGUUUGAGAGGUGACUUAAUUUCAUGUUCACAAUCUCACCUGAGUACUGUACAACAGCAGGGUUGCCCUU
rnacentral:lncRNA from 1 species